rnacentral:rRNA from 1 species
CGGCCUUGACAUACUAAGAACUUUCCAGAGAUGGAUUGGUGCCUUCGGGAACUUAGAUACAGGUGCUGCAUGGCUGUCGUCAGCUCGUGUCGUGAGAGUGUUGGGUUAAGUCCCGNAACGAGCGCAACCCUUUUCCUAUUUGCCAGCGGGUCAUGCCGGGAACUUUAAGGAUACUGCCAGUGACAAACUGGAGGAAGGCGGGGACGACGUCAAGUCAUCAUGGCCCUUACGGCCAGGGCUACACACGUGCUACAAUGGUCGGUACAAAGGGUUGCUACCUCGCGAGAGGAUGCUAAUCUCAAAAAGCCGAUCGUAGUCCGGAUCGCAGUCUGCAACUCGACUGCGUGAAGUCGGAAUCGCUAGUAAUCGCGGAUCAGAAUGCCGCGGUGAAUACGUUCCCGGGCCUUGUACACACCGCCCGUCACACCAUGGGAGUUUGUUGCACCAGAAGUAGGUAGUCUAACCGCAAGGAGGACGCUUACCACGGUGUGGCCGAUGACUGGGGUGAAGUCGUAACAAGGUAGGCGUAGAUGA